rnacentral:misc_RNA from 1 species
GAAAUGCGAUAAGUAAUGUGAAUUGCAGAAUUCAGUGAAUCAUCGAAUCUUUGAACGCACCUUGCGCUCCUUGGUAUUCCUUGGAGCAUGCCUGUUUGAGUAUCAUGAAAUCUUCAAAGUAAAUCUUUUGUUAACUCAAUUGGUUUCUACUUUGGUAUUGGAGGUCUUUGCAGCUUCACACCUGCUCCUCUUUGUUCAUUAGCUGGAUCUCAGUGUUAUGCUUGGUUCCACUCGGCGUGAUAAGUUAUCUAUCGCUGAGGACACUGUAAAAGGUGGCCAAGGUAAAUGCAGAUGAACCGCUUCUAAUAGUCCAUUGACUUGGACAAUACCUUUAUGAUCUGAUCUCAAAUCAGGUAGGACUACCCGCUGAACUUAAGC